GGAUUAGGUUGGAUAUAUUUUUUUUGUUGGGGGUGUGUUCUUAUGAGAUAUGCAGUAUGCUGAGGCCAGUUUUGAACUUAUGUUCAAGGCAUUGCUGGAUCUUUAAGAAGAUAACUAUGAUUGAAAACAAAACUUUGAAAUAAAUCACAACCAAAUACCACACGAGCUGUACUUUCUUUCCUGUUCGAACUAUCCAAAAUCGAAUUAAAAUCACUCGCUAUAA
rnacentral:lncRNA from 1 species